UCCCUGUUACCAGGGCAGUCUCCGAUGAAAAUCCAACAUCGGACAAGGGUUUCGUUCGUUUAAGGACUUAACCUCACAGCUCACGCCACGAACUGACGACGACCGUGCAAUACCUGUCUUAGCGCUCCCUUACGGGCACUCUCUCGUUUCUGAGAGAUUCGCUAGAUGUCAAAUCUGGGAUAAGGUUUUCGCUUACUGUCGAAUUAAACCACAUGCUCCACCACUUGUGCGAGCCCCCGCCAAUUUAUUUGAGUUUUAAUCUUGCGAUCGUACUUCCCAGGCGGUCAACUUGACGCGUUAGCUUCGCAACAGAAAGGGUCGACUCUUCCUAUUGCUAGUUGACAUAGUUUACGGCGUGGACUAC
rnacentral:misc_RNA from 1 species